AGAAGAGCAUGUCUGCCUCAGCGUCGGUUUACA
rnacentral:rRNA from 1 species